GGAAAUGUGUCUGAGUGGUUUAUAGAGCAAUAUUUGAGCUAUUGUGAUUUUUUCAUCGUAGGUUCGAAUCCUGCCAUUUCCG
rnacentral:tRNA from 1 species